rnacentral:lncRNA from 1 species
GUUCCCUAAUUUAAUAUGUACUUGGCGUAUUGCGGCUCAUACUUGUCGAUGUAGUGCUGGACAAACCGACACCUUAUAAUAAUGAAGUGCCCAUUCAACAGUGCGUAGUCCAGUGCCGACUUGGCCAGUAGCUUCCCAAUGCCAUGUCCGCCCAGUUCCUCCGGGACGUUGGUGCUGUUGAUGGUCAUCACACCGUCCCUGAUGGAGUAUACCAAUACAGCCCGGAGCUCGCCAAUGUCGGUGUAGAACCGACCUCUCUUAUGCCGGACAACAAUGGUGUGGUUACUUGUGGGGAUGGUGUAAUCUCUCGAGCACAAGGAAUACGUUCUUCGGCCACCUUGCAGAAUCAGAAUUGGAAGCAAUUUGGAAAGCAUUUCUUAAUUUUUGUGAGUAGUUUCAGGAAUUCGGGCCGAAUAAUCAUACUUCACAUCAUAGUGACGAUUUUCGAGUGACCAGCUUAAAUUAUUUAGUAAAUAGUUCACACUAGCAACGCACCUGCGAGGUGAAUUGAUAAAGGAUUGGGGAUUAAUCGCGGUGCAUUUUUCCAGCUUAUCUACAGCUACAUAAGUAUAAUAUCUAAAUCAGUUCAAACAUUGAAGAUUAUUUCCGAAUCCCUUCUUACUGGCAAUGUG